AACUAAAUUUUUUCUUAUUGUUUUUUCUUAUUGUUUUUCAGUAAGCUGCAUGUCUUUCCUGUAUCUAUACAAAGCAGAAGGAAGUGAAUGUUGUGCCACAUUUCAUCCUAAUGGCACAACAAAAUUUCAUCUACAUGAGCCAGGAUCUUCAUGUAAUCAAUACAAUUGGUGUGUUGAUAACACUGUGGUGGCCAAUGAAGAUAAUUUAAAUCACACAAUAGUCAUCAGCAGAGAUCCUCAUAGCAUCAUUUUUACCACCUGCUAUAACAAUGUUACAUACAAAAGUGCUUGUAAUGGGAAGAUCAUCAACUGCCCUUCCUGUAGUGCAGUGACAUCCCCCCGAAACAGUGGACAUGUUGAUAGGGUUCUUGGGGUCUUAUUUAUUAUUCUCCUUUGUAACCUAAUCUUUAUUUGCUAGAAUGGUCUCGGAUUUUAAGAAUGUCAUUGUAAUAACUUAUAAUUUUAAGUAAUCUUUCUGCAAUAGAAUUUGUGAAUGUGAAUAUUUUGACAGCUUUCAAUGCUUCAUGUUGUAUACAGAGAUGUUAAAUGCCUGGUGCAGAUGUGACCUCAGCCAAAGAAUACACUGAAAAAAAUCUUUCUGAGUCAUAAUAGUUUUUUUCUGGGUAAAGCACAUAGCUUUUUUCCUCAUUUUAAUAGCAUGAGAAAACCCUAGGCCACAGCAUUAGUUACAUCCAUUGAAUAUACUUGAUACAAAUGUGCACAUUAGUUCCAUGUGAAUUAACUGAUUUGCAUUAACACUAAAUAUCCAUCAUGACCUUUUCCAAAUCUUCAUUAUACAUGUAUCAGUCAUUCACUAUUUAUAAACUACCUUUCUAAUCUAAUUAUGAUGUUUAAGUUACUACUUUGUCUAAUUAAUUUACCUCCAAACUGUGACCCAAUUGUUUGCCUAUCAACUUAUGUAACUUUUUUCCACACGCCAGCAGUGAGCCAUUUACAAAUCAUUUAUUACACCUCUGCUAAAGAUGACUUUUUGGGAAACAUUGACAAAAUAAAUUAACACAUCAUAUGUCUUUCUGUAAAUUGUCCAUUAGUCACUAAUAUCCAUCAUUACCAGGAACCUAAUUCCUGGCUGGGCUGCCAGUUAACAAGCAAAAAAUAAAGCAG